rnacentral:rRNA from 1 species
AGGACGAACGCUGGCGGCGUGCCUAACACAUGCAAGUCGAACGGAGUUGAGGAGCUUGCUCCUUAACUUAGUGGCGGACGGGUGAGUAACGCGUGAGUAACCUGCCUCUGAGAGGGGAAUAACGUUCUGAAAAGAACGCUAAUACCGCAUGACACAUAUUUGCCGCAUGACAGAUAUGUCAAAGAUUUUUAUCGCUCAGAGAUGGACUCGCGUCCGAUUAGUUAGUUGGUGAGGUAACGGCUCACCAAGACCGCGAUCGGUAGCCGGACUGAGAGGUUGAACGGCCACAUUGGGACUGAGACACGGCCCAGACUCCUACGGGAGGCAGCAGUGGGGGAUAUUGCGCAAUGGGGGCAACCCUGACGCAGCAACGCCGCGUGAAGGAUGAAGGUUUUCGGAUUGUAAACUUCUUUUCUCAGGGACGAAUUCUGACGGUACUUGAGGAAUAAGCUCCGGCUAACUACGUGCCAGCCGCGGC